UGCAUGUGCAAGUGAGCAGGGCAGGGGCAGAGAGGGAGAGGGAGAAUCCCAAGCAGACUGCUUGCUGUCAGCACAGAGCCCAAUGUGGGGCUCCGUCCCACAAACCAAGGGCUCAUGACCUGAGCCAAAUUCAAGAGUUGGACACUUAACCCGCUGAGCCACCCAAGUAUCCCCUGCCUGCUAAAAUUUUACCGGUUCUUUCAGACAUAUUUCAGAGAUCACUUCUUCCAUGAAACCUCUGAUCAUCCUCAACCAGGUGUAAAAAAGAGAGUAACUGUGACUUAAAGUAAAAUGACUGGUCGUUCCAGAGUGAGAAGGAGGAAAAGCAAGAAUGGAUAAGAGUGUUGCAGAAAAGGAAUCUUGGGAGAUUCAUGGAAAAGACUUUGAGAACAACUCUGGAAUACAGAUUUCUGAUAACUUGAAGAUCAUGGAACUGAAUGGGAGAAGAAUUUCCAGAACUAAUGGAAAAACUGGAUUCAACAAAAUGAGAAUAAAAAGCAUAUCUCCUGCCAUCGUCCCAAAUGAUUUCUACCUCAGACUGCAUUGACAAACGUGAAGGAGACUUCCACGGAGGGCAAGGACCAGAAUCUAAAUCACAUCAUUCAAAGAAGCUGCUCUUAUCACAAAACAGGACAGACUCAAAAGGGGUAUACCAGAUCACACCAAUUGCCUUCCUGCCUUGGAAUGAUAAAAAAAAAGAAAAAAUCAAGCUCUAGGAGGACACAGCUGACUAAGGAAUGUUGCUUUAGAUGGACAGAGGAAUGGAGAUUCUCACUUAUGCCCAAGGGUGGGUGAAGAAGGGAAAGGAAGGUAAUUUAAGUGGGUACCUUGAAAAAUAGGGGGUUUCUGAGAGAUGAAACAAAUUUGCCAUUCCUUGGAUGUAGCUUAAGAACAGAAACCUCAGAGAUGUACCCCCUUCAAGGAGUUCUGGGGAAAGAGUAAAAAUAAAAAAACGGCACAUGUGGACGACAGAAGAGUCAUGUUUUACCCACUGUUCCCUGUGGCAUGGGAGUAGCAUCGAAGGGGUCCAUACUGUUCCCAUGGCUCCAGGGGAAGCUGUGAAAAUGAACUUGGAAAGUGAGCUGAUGACCAUCCCAAGAGGCCACUUGACCAAAAGAAAGUCACAGACUGAAGGAGAUGCACAUUACAGUGAGGCAUGGGGACCUUUGGAAGACAGCCAAUGGCUGGCAAUCCCAGAACACUGUAUGGGUGACUAUUGUGUCACCAUAGGAGCCAGUACCACAUAGCACUGAUGCCACCAACAAAAGAAUGCCACUCCCCCUGCCAUGGGUGUGCAGAAGAUUAUCUGGAUGGACUUAUCCUUCCCAGACUUGUAUCCCCUCCAGAAAAGGGUGCAGGAAAUUCAGAGUUAAAAUACAAACCUGAAUGAGACUGACUUAGUACUCCUGAUCAAUGGCUGAUUGAAUUUGCCCCAACACUAUUUUCUGGAGGCAGAUCAGUAGCUCCUUUUCUCCUCACUCAAGUCGGUGGCUGUAGAACUGAAACUUGAGACAUAAAUUUGGGAUCAGAUGGAUUCACUUUGUAUCCCAAAAACCAGUGUUAAAGACAAUAUGUGGCAAGAAUGCUAACCUCUAACUCACACAAAAAUCUUGCUGACACACAAGAAAUCACUAUUGUAUUACCCAUCAUGGCCCAGGCUUUCUCAGUAUUUCUUCCUGCACAAAACAUAUUUCUAAGAUUCUAUUUAAAAUGCAGUACCAAUUUCAGUACAACCAUUUUUUUCCAAUGUUUAUUUCUUUUUGAGACAGAGAGACAGCAAGCAGGGGAGGGGCAGAGAGAGAGGGAGACACAGAAUCCAAAGCAGGCUCCAGGCUCUGAGCUGUCAGCACAGAGCCCGACGUGGGGCUCGAACUCACGGACCGCAAGAUCACGACCCACCUGAGCUGUAGUCAGACUGAGCCACCCACGCACCCCUCAGCACAACAUUUUAAACUAAGUCAUUAUUAAAUAAAGAUCAGGUUUUCAAUAUGUUAAGGGUUAUACUGCUCAUGAGUUUAGUGUUACCAAGGACAGUAUAAAGGCAGGGAGAUACAGCCUGGACAAAGAGAGCACUUAGAUCUCCAUAUCUGCCUUUUCAUUCCAGAGGGAAAUGCUACCAAGUAGACUGCGCAUCCAUGAGAGCCUGGAGUGAGUAUUUUGACAUUCGCAAAACAACCCCGGAUCUUUAUGGGCCCCCUCAUCCCUGAACCCCAGCUUUGAAAGAGUUUGCUAAGGAGCCCACACUCUUCAAGAUCUUUUCUCAACCUGAAGAGAGAAAGAAAUCAGUCGGGGAGCUUGUUAAACAAGAAGAUUUGGAUUGAGCUGUCCUGGAAUUCUGCAUUUCUUGACAACCAUGAGCCACAAUUUGAGCAGAGACUGCAUGGAGGACUUGGUUAAUGAGUUCUGGGUGCGCAGCUUGAGCUGCUCCAUCUGAAGACUUCUCAGUAUGGGACCUCAAUUACUGUCACCUUCCUGCACCGCAGCAUGCUCCACAGUCUCGGCAGGGCCCUGCUCCCCAUGCUAGGGCUUCAUCAGCACAAUUAAUCACUCCAGUUCUCUGCAAGUUCUCUGCUCAUUUGUCAGGAUUUCCCUGUUUUGACACCAAAGAACGACAUCUCUCAAAUCGUUUAGGAAGUAGUUUCCCAUCCUGGUGCACACCUGCCAUCUGGUGGUGAGAAUUUAACGCCAAGUUACAGGGAAAUAAGAGCCGUCCUUUAAUUCUGCCUCCCCUGCCCCUUUCUACUCCCUCUCCACCCCUCUCUUGCUAUGGUUAACAAUUCAAAGAGUGUUUGGUGAGUGUAAAAUUUAAAAGGUGAUGUUGCCACAUUGUGCCUCGGUGCCUCACCUGGCGGGAUUGGAGAGUGGGCAUUUGAGAGAUUCAUUCCAGGAAUGCCUCUGAGGCUGAGGUGAAACUAAAAGCUUGCAGGAGGUUAUAAUCGCCUCCAAGUGGGUUUGAUACCAAUGCCUAUGGAACCAGGCUCCUCCUGUCCAGACCCUAGAGGAGCUGGGGCUUCCUGGGGCUGACAUGAUCCAAGGCAACGCUGGAGAAAUCAGGUCUUGUGCUCUGGAACACUGUGAUAGAGGAAAGACAUUCUACCAACAUUACUUACUAAGAAAGGAUAAUUAGCCCAUGAAUAUUCUUAAUCAAGAGGUCUAGGGUUGGCUUCUAUUUCAUUUAUUUUUUUAUUGAUUGAUUGAUUAACUUUAUUUGAGAGAGAGAGAGAAAGCAUGAGUGUGAGGGGCAGAGAGAGAGAGAGAAAGAGAGAAUUCCAAGCAGACUCUUGGCUGUCAGCACUUCUUAUCUUACAGAGAAGCCACAUGAACUUAAAUGGGCAAACUGGCAUGACCUUAGGGCAUUCGCCUUUACUGGCACAGCGGGCGCAACUGUGUUUGCCCUUACUUACAUCAUGCAUUUUCUGUAUUCGCUCUUGGAGACUGGAGGUGAAAAAGAAUACGCUGAGCUUGGAGGGGAGAAGAGAGAAACUGCUCCUGUUUCUGUCAACAUCUGGAAUCUACCAAACUCUCAUGCCGGUAAUGAGAAGAUGAAAAUGAGGGUGGAAAGAACACCAGAAUACGUUUAGAUCAUGGAGGCUCUCACUCCGGUUUUUAUUCUGACAGGUCUUCCGACGGCUCUGCACCUCAAUCUCGUCUCUUAUAAAACGCAGGUUUGACACUUCUCCCACAAGACUGUAGUU